CCAACUCCCAAAUAGCAAACCCUAUAUCUCUCUCCCUUCUACCUCCCUCUCUCCAUUCCAUCUUUAUCCCUCUCCCUGCCUACAUCCUCUCUAUUCUAGUCGGUUGUUCGGCGCCUUGCAAUGGCGCCACUGGGGAAGGUGGAGCUCCUCUUGAGCGGCUGCGCGAAAGGUGGUGCCCACGAUGGCGUCUCGCAAGAAGAGCACCAAUAAUAAUUUUUUGGUGCGCUCAGCGGCCUUUGCGCGGAGAGUAUGGAAUAGUUAUGGUGGUGAAGCGGCGCACUGUGACAGUGUCCUAGUUUUCUAAUUGCAGUGGUAGUGGAGGUGUGCGAUUCUGUGGGGGGAACGAAGAUCUCGGCAUGGUGCUAUGCACGAUAGCUGUAGCGGCAUGGUGAUAGCACGGAUCGAGGCUAUAGCGGUCUUUAUGUUUUUGGUGGUUUUAGGAUUAUUGUUGUGGUUGCGACAGUGGCGACGGUCGUUGGUGCAGGUGGUGGAGGUGGCUGAUCUGUGGUGUAUUUGUGCUAAUUUGUGUGUUCUGUGUGUAAGGAAGCUGAUUAUGUGUGGUGGUGGUAGAGAUGGCGAGGAGGGGAUGGUGCAGGUGGUGGUUCGUUGGGGGUAGUGGUGGUGCUCAUCAUUGUUGGUGCGCUGCUCUGAUUUUGGGUCUGGAUAUGAUUUUAUUUUAUUUUAUUAUUAUUAUUAUUUUUUUUUUUUUUU
rnacentral:lncRNA from 1 species